rnacentral:rRNA from 1 species
UACGGAGGGUGCAAGCGUUGUCCGGAUUUAUUGGGUUUAAAGGGUGCGUAGGCGGGCCUUUAAGUCAGUGGUGAAAGCCGACAGCUUAACUGUCGAAAUGCCAUUGAUACUGGGGGUCUUGAGUACAGUAGAGGUAGGCGGAAUUAAUGGUGUAGCGGUGAAAUGCGUAGAUAUCUGGAGGAACACCGGUGGCGAAGGCGGCAUCCUGGACCGAUACUGACGCUGAGGAGCGAAAGCCAGGGGAGCAAACGGG